rnacentral:lncRNA from 1 species
GGGAGAAGAUGAAAAAACUGCCGCCAAUAAUAAAGUAUGCAAGGUAAUUUAGGUUAAGGGUUUUUAUGGUAUUUUACAAAAUAUAACACUCUUCUCUCAUCUUUCUCUUCAUCUUUGAGGAGAAAUAAAUUUUAUGGACCACAUACUAUUUUUUUCUCCUCCCCUCAUUCUAUCUUCUCAACCAAAGGGGGAAACCUCAAUUUCUCUCAUACUUC